rnacentral:rRNA from 1 species
UACAGAGGGUGCAAGCGUUAAUCGGAAUUACUGGGCGUAAAGCGCGCGUAGGUGGUUUGUUAAGUUGGGUGUGAAAUCCCCGGGCUCAACCUGGGAACUGCAUUCAAAACUGACAAGCUAGAGUAUGGUAGAGGGUGGUGGAAUUUCCUGUGUAGCGGUGAAAUGCGUAGAUAUAGGAAGGAAUAUUAGUGGU